rnacentral:rRNA from 1 species
GACGAACGCUGGCGGCGUGCCUAAUACAUGCAAGUCGAACGCAUUUUCUUUCACCGUAGCUUGCUACACCGAAAGAAAAUGAGUGGCGAACGGGUGAGUAACACGUGGGUAACCUGCCCAUCAGCGGGGGAUAACACUUGGAAACAGGUGCUAAUACCGCAUAAUUCCAUUUACCGCAUGGUAGAUGGAUGAAAGGCGCUUUUGCGUCACUGAUGGAUGGACCCGCGGUGCAUUAGCUAGUUGGUGGGGUAACGGCCUACCAAGGCUGCGAUGCAUAGCCGACCUGAGAGGGUGAUCGCCCACCCUGGGACUGAAACCCGGCCCAGACUCCUACGGGAGGCAGCAGUAGGGAAUCUUCGGCAAUGGACGCAAGCCUGACCGAGCAACGCCGCGGGAGUGAAGAAGGUUUUCGGAUCGUAAAACUCUUUUGUUAGAGAAAAAAAAGGAUGAGGGGGGAAAGUUCCUCCCUUGAAGGUAUCAAACCAAAAAGCCACGGCAAACUACGG